AUUGAACGCUGGCGGCGCGCCUAAUACAUGCAAGUCGAGCGAGAAGACGUAGCAAUACGUUUGUAAAGCGGCGAACGGGUGAGGAAUACAUGGGUAACCUACCCUCGAGUGGGGAAUAACUAGCCGAAAGGUUAGCUAAUACCGCGUACGCUCCUUGGACUUCGGUUCAGGGAGGAAAGACGAUACCGUGGGUAUCGCGCUCUUGGAUGGGCUCAUGUCCUAUCAGCUUGUUGGUGAGGUAACGGCUCACCAAGGCUUCGACGGGUAGCUGGUCUGAGAGGACGAUCAGCCACACUGGCACUGCGACACGGGCCAGACUCCUACGGGAGGCAGCAGUAAGGAAUAUUGCGCAAUGGGCGAAAGCCUGACGCAGCGACGCCGCGUGGGGGA
rnacentral:rRNA from 1 species